CACGUAAAUGCUUUUCUAUGCCUUUCCACCAUCUCUUCCAUUACAGAAAAUGGUCCAUUUCAGACGGCCAGAGUGAGGGAUCCCUCCAACCUAAGGACCCUGCAACUCCCACGCAGACAGAAGGGGCAGAAGCACCGUGGGGGAGAACGCAGGAAGAGCUGCUGAACUUGUUGAUCACUCAGCCCAUCGCUGGCUGGGAAGGAAGGAACAUCCUUUCUCCUGGGGAGAUUGUUUGGUCCUCCUGGGUUUUCCUGAGAAGUUAUCACAUGGAGGAGAUGUCUGAACGCUGCCUUGUGCUGACCUCCUUCCACUUGCUGAUUCUGUCUGUGGAUCACACAAAGAAGGCGUUUGUUUAUGAGGUAAAGCACAAGAACCCUUUCAAGGUUUCCCAAAUAUCUCUUUGCUCACAGCUCCAGCAUAUAUGCAUGGCAAAAAGGAAAGCUUACUCCUUGGUUCCAUGCAAGGAGCUCAGGAUGGAGCUCACAUGUUCUGAACCCACCAGCCAAGGCAGACACUUCACUGAUUUCAAUGGGGCUUUGGCAUAUUUUCUAGGACACUAG
rnacentral:lncRNA from 1 species